CUGGCCACCCAUCUAAACUGAGUGAUUGGGGAGAAAGGCCUUAGUCAGGGAGGUGAUCAAGAACCCAAUGGUCACUCUGUCAGAGCUCCAGCAUUCCUUUGCAGAGAAAGGGGAACCUUACAGGAGGACAACCAUCUCUGCAGCAAUCCUCCAAUCAGGCCUGUAUGGCAUCCAGACAAAAG